rnacentral:rRNA from 1 species
AGCAGCCGCGGUAAUUCCAGCUCCAAUAGCGUAUAUUAAAGUUGUUGCAGUUAAAAAGCUCGUAGUUGAAUUUCGGGAUCAAUAUGUUGGUCGUGCCUCGGUACGUACUAGCAUAUUGGUUUCUCCUUUCUGAAGAACCAUGAUGCCAUUUAUUUGGUGUCGUGGGGAAUCAGGACUGUUACUUUGAAAAAAUUAGAGUGUUUAAAGCAGGCUCACGCUUGAAUACAUUAGCAUGGAAUAAUGAAAUAGGACGUUUGAUUCUAUUUUGUUGGUUUCUAGGAUCGACGUAAUGAUUAAUAGGGAUAGUUGGGGGCAUUAGUAUUCAAUUGUCAGAGGUGAAAUUCUUGGAUUUAUUGAAGACUAACUACUGCGAAAGCAUUUGCCAAGGAUGUUUUCAUUAAUCAAGAACGAAAGUUAGGGGAUCGAAGACGAUCAGAUACCGUCGUAGUCUUAACCAUAAACUAUGCCGACUAGGGAUCGGAUGAUGUAAUUUUUAAUGA